UUUUUUAACUUAUGGCGGUAAUCUGAGGUACCGAAAAAAGAAAAUUCAAGCGCCCAAAUUUCCAACUGUUUUUUUUCCCUAUUCAGUUCACCAUUUUGUUUUCUAGGGUUUUUGAAGCAAUCCUCGCCAUAGAUGGAUAGAUAGAGGGAUUGUGAAGGACCGUUUAACAAUCACCAACCGUUAAAUUCAACUCCUUUUGUUUCCCGAUAAUCACAAUCCUAACAUACCCCGCUGGCCACCACCGGCACCACUUCCGGCAACAGAGCAGCCAAUAAACGACGCGUUUUCGUCCAACGGUUCCAAAUCCGGUCGAAAGAGCGGGGUUUCACCAUUCCAUUCGAAGAGCUUCUCCAGUGGAAAAUAAACUGGAGGAAUUCACGGUAUUUGGGCUCAGAAACUGUUGCCAGGCAGCAAAAGCUGCAAAAUCAGUGCCAACAGGUUCAGACAUGUCUCACCCAACUGAAAGUUUAAGUCCAACAACCUUUGUUUACAUUGAUCUUGGACGGACUUUGUACAUUUUUUUAAACAUACAUUUAUUAUUUCAUUUUAUGCAUUGCAAUUUUCUUUUCUUCAGUUCAGAGACGUUGUAAAUGUAACUGAUGUACUGAGAUGGAUGUUUUAAUUGACUCAAAGAAUCUCUUUCAUGUGUUUUGGCAUCUGAUGGAACUUCAUGUCAUACUCUGUUUUUUAUUGACAUGUCUAGAUGAAGUUAUGAUUUGCAUAAAUUCAGUAUAUUGUGAUUCUCUAGGGACCGGACCAUUCACAAAUCAAGACAGAAACAAGUGCUGUUUGUUGAUCAACUUGUGGUUAACUUUAUCAGAUACCAAGAUCUUAAUUACUCUUUUUGAUUGGAUUUGCAUGUUGCAUAUGUUAUCGGUUGCCUAUUUUCCUUCCCCUUUCAUGCUAGUAAGAAGCAUAUAUAGAUCAGGCAUAUGUGCAAUUGUGAUGAUAGUAAGAAACAUAUGUUUAUCAGGCACAUGCAGGAACUUUAGAACACUCACUCUCCUCAACCUUCUCUCUUAAUUUGUAGUUUGAUUAGCUAUUAUUGAGCUCCUUUGUAAUGAAAUUUGGCUUCAAGAUGAUGUCUGUAUGCGUUGUUCAUUGUUUUUCAUUUAUUAGGCUCACUCAGGUGGAAGGAUUCUGCGUUCAUUUCUUCCCUGGUGAUUUCUUUUUCUGGGACAUCUUCUAGUUGUUAUUAGGCUACAUAAGUUUUGUUAAUAGUCACUAUUUAUUUUCAAUCUCCUUGCUUUCAUCCCUUGUUUCCUACUUUGAAGUGGUUAAAUGUUGGUAGGAUAACUUGCAGGGCCGGAACUGCUCAUGUAAUUACAAUCCUGUUAGUGAAAUACAUCUUAUCGUUUUUGUUACAUACUUGAAUUUGAAUGUUACAUCUCUUGCUUCAUGUUCUUUUAUUGCAGCUUUAAAAUGUUCAUUGUACUAAAUGUAUAUGGGAAUUUCCAGGUAUGCAAAGCAGUUUCUUGAUGUUUUCAGUUUUACAGCCUAAACCCAUCAUAGGUGAGUGUUUUUCAACAUGAGCAUCUUCUGGUAAACAUGUGAAAAUUCAAUUGGCUGACAGGAUAAGAUUCCUUCAUGACCCUUAGGUUCUUGUUACAUAGGAAUUACCUAAAGGGUUAUUUGUUAGACUGCACAUUGGGGCAACCUCGAGUCUUAGCUUAGCACAUUGGAGCAUUCAAAAAUGUAGGUUUCUUCAGAACCUGAUAUAUUAACUUCUUUGUUGCUUUUGUUGGUACGGCUAGUUUUCAUAUCUAGGGAUAAAAAUUGGUCAUUAUCUGAGGGGGACGGUGGUAGGCCCCAGGAAUCAUGUAAUGGCUUAUCUCACACACAGUCUCCGGGUUAUUCCUUAUUCUACAUGUAAGUAUAUUCUUAACAGUGACAAAUUCACAUGGCCAGCAAACAUAUAACCACAAAGGAACACUGUGGAUAGCGAUGUUUGAUAUCGAAAUCGAUAAGCUCCAUGAUAUUCAGAAUAAAAGAAUCAUGCCCCCAUACUGUAUGUAUGUUCAUCAUAUAAAUGGCUUUCAUAGUUUCAUUUCCCUGUAACACACAAUACACUGAAUCUCCACCCUUUUACCAUUCAAUUCAAUGAA